UACGUAGGGCGCAAGCGUUGUCCGGAAUUAUUGGGCGUAAAGAGCUCGUAGGCGGUUUGUCGCGUCUGCUGUGAAAUCCUCAGGCUCAACUUGGGGCGUGCAGUGGGUACGGGCAGACUAGAGUGCGGUAGGGGAGACUGGAAUUCCUGGUGUAGCGGUGGAAUGCGCAGAUAUCAGGAGGAACACCGAUGGCGAAGGCAGGUCUCUGGGCAUUAACUGACGCUGAGGAGCGAAAGCAUGGGGAGCGAACAGG
rnacentral:rRNA from 1 species